GAUGAACGCUGGCGGCGUGCCUAAUACAUGCAAGUCGAGCGAACAGACGAGGAGCUUGCUCCUCUGACGUUAGCGGCGGACGGGUGAGUAACACGUGGAUAACCUACCUAUAAGACUGGGAUAACUUCGGGAAACCGGAGCUAAUACCGGAUAAUAUAUUGAACCGCAUGGUUCAAUAGUGAAAGACGGUUUUGCUGUCACUUAUAGAUGGAUCCGCGCCGCAUUAGCUAGUUGGUAAGGUAACGGCUUACCAAGGCAACGAUGCGUAGCCGACCUGAGAGGGUGAUCAGCCACACUGGAACUGAGACACGGUCCAGACUCCUACGGGAGGCAGCAGUAGGGAAUCUUGCGCAAUGGGCGAAAGCUUGACGGAGCAACGCCGCGUGAGUGAUGAAGGUCUUCGGAUCGUAAAACUCCGUUAUUAGGGAAGAACAACUGUGUAAGUAACUAUGCCCGUCUUGACGGUACCUACUCAGAAAGCCACGGCUAACUACGUG
rnacentral:rRNA from 1 species